GCGGUUGCAGGGAUUGUGAGUGUCGGGAUGCUCAGGUGACUUGUUAUCUGCACUCCUGCCCCACCUGCCCGCCAGGGACCCUGGUCAUCACCCAGGAGGGCCGAUGCUGCCCCGAGUGUCGCCAAGUCCAGUGCCACGCACACUGCCUGUCGUGCUCGGGGACUGCGGAUCAUUGUGAAAGCUGCAGGGAUCCGAAGGCCUUCCUUCAUGUUGGCCGCUGUCUGUCCGUCUGUCCAGCCGGCUACUUCUCUGAGGGACGAGUGUGUGAAGCCUGCCAGUCAUCCUGCACCACCUGUUACAGCAGGUGGGAAUGCCAGUCCUGCGGCCCCCAUCAGCCCCUGCUCAGCGCUGAUAGCGGCGAGUGCCUGGCUUCCUGUCCUCUGGGUUCCUACCAGCACGACAACACACACUG